rnacentral:rRNA from 1 species
GAUGAACGCUGGCGGCGUGCCUAAUACAUGCAAGUCGAGCGAAUGGAUUAAGAGCUUGCUCUUAUGAAGUUAGCGGCGGACGGGUGAGUAACACGUGGGUAACCUGCCCAUAAGACUGGGAAACUCCGGGAAACCGGGGCUAAUACCGGAUAACAUUUUGAACCGCAUGGUUCGACAUUGAAAGGCGGCUUCGGCUGUCACUUAUGGAUGGACCCGCGUCGCAUUAGCUAGUGGGUGAGGUAACGGCUCACCAAGGCAACGAUGCGUAGCCGACCUGAGAGGGUGAGCGGCCACACUGGGACUGAGACACGGCCCAGACUCCUACGGGAGGCAGCAGUAGGGAAUCUUCCGCAAUGGACGAAAGUCUGACGGAGCAACGCCGCGUGAGUGAUGAAGGCUUUCGGGUCGUAAAACUCUGUUGUUAGGGAAGAACAAGUGCUAGUUGAAUAAGCUGGCACCUUGACGGUACCUAACCAGAAAGCCACGGCUAACUACGUGCCAGCCGCCGCUGUAA